GUAGGUGGCAGGCGUUGUCCGGAAUUAUUGGGCGUAAAGCGCGCGCAGGUGGUUCUUUAAGUCUGAUGUGAAAGCCCCCGGGCUCAACCGGGGAGGGUCAUUGGAAACUGGGGAACUUGAGUGCAGGAGAGGAAAGUGGUAUUCCACGUGUAGCGGUGAAAUGCGUAGAUAUGUGGAGGAACACCAGUGGCGAAGGCGACUUUCUGGCCUGUAACUGACACUGAGGCGCGAAAGCGUGGGGAGCAAACAGGAUUAGAUACCCUGGUAGUCCACGCCGUAAACGAUGAGUGCUAAGUGUUGGGGGGUUUCCGCCCCUCAGUGCUGCAGCUAACGCAUUAAGCACUCCGCCUGGGGAGUACGGUCGCAAAGACUG
rnacentral:rRNA from 1 species